UACGUAGGGGUCGAGCGUUGUCCGGAGUUACUGGGCGUAAAGCGUGCGCAGGCGGCUCAUUGCGCCCGGCGUGAAAGCCCCGGGCUCAACCGGGGAGGGUCGUCGGGGACGGGUGAGCUUGAGGGUCGCAGGGGCUGGUGGAAUUCCCGGUGUAGUGGUGAAAUGCGUAGAGAUCGGGAGGAACACCCGUGGCGAAGGCGGCCAGCUGGGCGACACCUGACGCUGAGGCACGAAGGCGUGGGGAGCGAACGGG
rnacentral:rRNA from 1 species